CACCCCCUUCCAUAGUGCCAUCAUUUCAUCACUUUUACUUUGAUUUCCAUAUCAUUACCUCACCUAUGGGCCUGUGAUCACACACACACACACACACACACACACACACACACACACACACACACACACACACACACACACACACACGCGCGCACGCGCACACGUACACACACACACACACACAACCUCUUCCGUUACAGUUAUUACUUUAUAGAUCAGCAACAACUUGUGCUCUCUUUCUAAACUGCAGGGUUGCUGUACCAGAGAGUAAUGAACUGCCUUUCCUGUCAGUACAAGCUGCACACCUGCCCCUCUACCACUCAGGACUGCGGUGGUGAGUGUGUGUGCGUGCAUCCAUGUGUGCGUCCAUGCGUGGGCGAGCCUGUGUGUGUGUGUGUGUGUGUGUGUGUGUGUGUGUGUGUGUGUGUGUGUGUGUGUGUGUGUGUGUGUGUGUGUGUGUGUCUUUAUGCAGCAGUGCUGUCUACUCUUCUUGAAUGUCAUAGAUUUCUUAGGUAAUACUGACCUGUUCAAACUAUUUUAGUCUGAGGUUAAAUCAAUCCCUCUGUCUAUCCCUCCCUUCCUCUAACCAUUCUUCUCUCUUCCUCACUCCCUCCCCCCUCCCCCUACUCCUCUCUCUGGUAGAGUAUCCAGUGGAGGCAGCAGAGGGGGGACAGGCAGUGUUGGACUGUUUCCUCCCCUGGCAUAGUCUAGUGGUGGGCCAGCCAGAUUAUCACUACACCUGGGCUCCAGGGACGCAAAGGACUGCAAAUCUGACAGAGGGUGAUUUCAGAGUGUUGGUGGUUACUGAGGAUUCCUCUGUGGUGCUGAACCAGCUGCAUGUCGAUGAGGAGGGCAUGUACCGCUGCCUCCUAACGGAUGGCAAAGGAACUGUCCUUUCACGCACACACUUCCUGCUCACUGUCACCCCGUCACCUGUCCCGACUCCCAGAUCUCUCCUCACCCUGCCCUCCCUCCCUCCUAGUUAUGAUGCCUCCCCCAUUUCUCACCCUCCCACUGACCUCCUGCUGGUCAUCAUCAUCAUAAUUACUGCCCUGAGUCUGACGGCCAGCCUAGGCCUUGCUAUUGCUUUUGGGUGAGAGAGGGAUGGAGGGUGAGAGUGGGGGACAGAGUGAAUGAUGGGGUGAGGGAGAGGGAGGGAGAAAGACAGAGAAAGGGGAGGAGGAGAUAGUGACAGAAUGAGUGAUUGAUUAAAUUAUGAAUGAUUGCUUAAAUAUUUGAGUGGGAGAGACAGAGAGGGGGAGAGAGAUGAUGGAGGAAUGAUGGAGGGAUUCAUUAGAAAAAAUAUGAAUGGAUGUUCAAAAGAUGAAUUGAGAAGUUUGGCCAUGUGAAAUUGGCAGAACCAGGACAGAUCUUCUGUGGUAGCAGACAAGUCCAAUCUCAUUUCCCUUCCAAAAUUCAAAAUAUGCCCUGUGUAGGAAAUCGCACCGAUAGAAUUGUUCCUCAUUACCCUCAUAUCCCACAGCCUCCCAACAGAUGUUACAUUUUGAAGUGUCUACUGUCAGUUGCCCGGAAUAGUAGAUACAGAAUUACAAUAAAUAGGAAAGAUACUACACAUACAGCAGAGUGAGAAGUAACAGAAAUGUAAACUUUUUCCUUGAAUAAUCAAGGACACAUUUCUGGUGUCAGAGUUGAAGAGAAAAUAGAAUGACAUCAUGUCAUAAAGACUGAACAAUGUGUGUGUGUGUGUGUGUGUGUGUGUGUGUGUGUGUGUGUGUGUGUGUGUGUGUGUGUGUGUGUGUGUGUGUGUGUGUGUGUGUGUGUGUGUGUGUGUGUGUGUGUGUGUGUGUGUGUUCUACCACCAGAUUGAUUACUCUGAGACAACAGAGAGAAGAGGAGGAGAGGGAAGGGAAGGGGAGAGAUGAUGACAGAGGAACAAGAAUGUGACUGAUGUGGAAUAUGAGAAGGGAUGGACAAGAUUUUGAGUUAAAUAAACACAAAAGAGUUAAGAGAAAGGGUGUAAAUUAAUAUUGAUACUGUUAAUAACUGUAUCUCAGAUAAUGUAGCACACACACACACACACAUCAUUUAAUUUAAUUCACUUGAUUGACCUCAAUAAGGUUUUCUGAACGGAGAGAAGAUUAUAGACACGUGGGAUAGGAUGAAAAGAGGGAGGAUGAGAGGAGUGAGGGAUGGAGGUAAAACUCCUGGAUUACAGACUUUUUCAGAUUAAUAUUCCCAAAC
rnacentral:lncRNA from 8 species